rnacentral:lncRNA from 10 species
GAUUAAAUUGAGAGCAAAGCAUAAACAAGCAUCUAAAUCUACAAGGGCAAAGAGAAUGGACACCCUCUCUCAGUAGGCUACUGGAGCAUGUUAACCAACACAAUAAGGAAAUGGCUCAGGAGGACGAUGUGGGGCUCUGGAAUCAGGGAACUGGACACAGGAAAGGGGUGAAGGAAAUUCCUAGAAUGGUGAUGAAGGAAACCCUAGGAUGACAACAACCAGCCUAACGAGCAGCAGCCGGUACCACCUGGAACAAAAGGUGCCAAGCAGGAGAAACUUAUCUGAGGAAAAAGAGAUCUUUUUAAAAAGGUAGAUUUAUCUGUCCUCUCAUUUUCUGCUCACAUGACUAGCUCUUUCUUGAUCACAAUCUAACUUCUGAGGAGGCUAGGAGUCUUCCCAUGUACCCAGGAAGAAGAGAAGAACUAAUGUGGUUUUUCAGUGUGAGACCAAGAAAGCUAUUGAUGCGAAACUGCUCUUUGGUGACAUCGUGCUUCAACAAGUCAUCCCCAGUGCAACCCAGGAUGAUGGCCAUUUGCACUUCCUUUUUAGGCAUCUGACAUCAGCUUCAAGAAGUCUCUCCCCAUAUGCAUUAAGAAUGCACAGUAAACAAGCUAAAGUGCAGACGCUUUCACAGGUUUCUGUUGGACAAUAACAACCACCGGUAACGAAGAGGACAAGAAUCUGUUUACAAAUGUGUAUUUCAUCAGGCAACACCUGCUCUAAAAUGGCCAGAGCCUGCCAUUUCCACAAAUGUGGACUAAAAUGAACAUACCUGAAAAAAAGAUUUUUCACCUUCUAAUAUAAAAUAUUCUGUCUUCAUUUCAAAGGUGUAAUGUAUAGUAUACAAUAAGGUGGUAAUAAUCUUAAAGUGACCGAUGGUUAGAGAAAUUGGUUAACGGACUUCUAUUGGAUUUAUAAAAGGGAAAGAGUUUUGCCUCUCUCUGAUGCUUAGUUGGUGUUUCCAAUUGAAAUUUGAGAUGAAUUAGAGUUGAAUGAAUUUCCCUUCAGCACUAUGAUUUUAUUAUUGUACACAUUUCUGUUUUAGAUAUGUUUAAAUAUAAACAUUAAAUAUAAACAUAGUUCUGUUUAAAUAUAAAAAUUUGUGGAAUCCUUAAUUAGAAUCUCAGUAGAUAAAGCCUGAGAAUCAAUGUUUAUAUCAUGCUGCACAGGUGACUGUGAUUCAUAGCUUCUGAACACUCCAACAUUCAUCACUGGUUUUGUGCCACACCCUUGAUGGUUUGAGAUGGUUAAGUGCUUGAAAGAAAGAUGUUCUGCUAUUCACUGAACAUAUAUUGGAAGCUUUUAGAGUCCAGGUAAAUUUUUUAAAAGUUGAAAUUUUGUAAUGGAAACAAAUUAGCCUGAAUUAUAUCUUUGUUAUAGAAGCAGUUACAGAAUGGACCAAACAUUUUCUAAGGAAUAUUUCUUUAGGGAUUUCCUCAAAUAUUUAAGCAAACAUUCCAAAGUUAUGUACCAGAAAGCAUAUAACAAUUUACCUUGGCCUGGAAAACCUUUAUGGCUAUGGUAACCAAUCAUGUAACUCCAAUAUAAAAAGCUUUGAUAAGGUUCCUAUAAACAGCUUAAAUUUUGUGUAGGAAUAUGCUUAAAAGAUGAAAUAGCAUGUUGAAUAAAGUUGUUUAGAAUUGUCAUACAAAUACUAAAUUAUAUCUUCUUAAAACAAUUAUUUAGAUUUUAUAGUUUUUACAUUAAAAUCUUACUUCUAAAAUAAAUUAAUAAAAGAAAUAAUCUAUCAUGUUCAGUUUCCUCUUCAGGGCUCUUUAUAAUAUUGUCACACUGACAGGUUAGAGGAAGAUUUAUAUCUCUGGUGUGUUAAUGGCUGGAGGACUUUUAUUCAAUACUUCUCAUUGACUUAUUCAUAAGUUCAACAAAAAUGUGUUGUGAACCUUCUAUGUGCCAAACUGUUAAAUGUUCUGGGAUUGCAGUAAGUAAAUACAACCAAUAUCACCUGUGCUUCCCUUAGUGCGCUGGAAGAAUUGAAUAUAUCUGACUUGGAUUUUCAGAUUCUAGGAUCAAAGGUUGUUUUCUCAAAAGUUUAUUUAUAUUAAUUUCU